AAUCUGCACGAAGGAAGGAUGCCGGCCAGCCAAGGAACCGGGACCAUAGAGACGAGGAGGCUAGAAUAACGCUUCCUGACAGGCUUCCGGCUUGGUUAGCGACGUAGCGAUGGGAUGUAAAAACGCCGCUUUUGCGCGUGAACGUAAAUGAGAGAUGGUUGUGUUGAACGCGGAUGGUGCUGAUUCGGAUAAACGGGUGGGAUCAUGUGUUGCGGGGUAUAAUUUCCACUGCAGCGUUUUUAAUUUAAAACCUUGCUGCUUCGUCAAAAGACCUUCCUAAAUAAGCGAUAACCCUGGUCAGUCAAUGAACUCCGUUGCAAGAUGUCGCAAGCCAGCUUUCAGUGUGGGGUUGCUUAAACUGGACUGCAUUUCUCUUAGAGCCAAGCUACAAGUGACGAAUGACACUUGCCUGGCAAGUGAACAGACUCACGUGUAUUCCUCCCUGUUCACUUGCCAUUCUCAGCUGCGCACCGCAUGCAAUAGGGAGAGAACUACACUCUGUAUUUGGGAUUUAAUAGUUAAAAAAGCACCGAUCACAUUUUUAAAACAAAUAAGAACUGAGUUGGGGCAUCCCGUUACAGUAUGUUUUAUUCUUAGAUUGUGGCUUUCCCUACUAGCGAGUAGGAGACCGUAACAAAUCGGCGGGUGUAUUUAGCGCUUCAGAGUUGCUGCCAUUAAAUGCCGAUCCUGCACUGUUGACAAACCGGGCCAGCCAUGCUACCCUUCACAGAAGACGUGUGAAGUCAAUGGCGCCGUCUGCAUGGCCAUGAAGUUCUUUUCAGGUAAUCGCUUGGAGAAAAAAAUAAUGAGCUGCUUUGUUGACAAUGUGAGGACUUGUGGAAAGAAAGGGAUAUUACCAACGAGUGGUCAACGAUACGAACAUGUCUGCUGCUCUAAUAAAAACUUUUGCAGCGAUACCUUGUAAUUCACUUAAGAGUGUGGGUGAAGGCAGAUGUAAUGUUAAGAAAACUCUUCUCCCUGAGUUGGGGAGCAAUUUGCAAUUUAAAUGUUAAAUGUUGAACUGAAUAUUAAAUCAAAUGCUCUUUGGUUGUCCCAUUGGAGGACAAUCUAAUCUUUAAAAAAAAAAGACUGCAUUUAUAGUCAUGUUUAUUCAUUUGGUCAUUGUUUUAUUUUCUCCUUGCCUCAAAAUAAUGUAUUUCAAAACCUGCCAUAGUGAUUGAAUGGAGGUUAUAUGAUGAGGUCACAGUCAUGAGCCAAUCAGUGCUGAGUCUGACCUUUGCUUCCUGUGUAGCAAAUUUGCAGAAACUUCUUCUGAAAAACAUUAGUUUUUCAGUAAUGUACAUUUGGGUUAGUUAUACUAAGGGUCACUUGAACUCCAUUCCAUUACAGUAAUAAACUUGCCUUCAUCCUGUGUUUCCUCUUUAGGCAACCGCCUGAAGGUCUAACUACAUGCUACGAAGUACUGGUGGCCCUCUCCCAUGUAUCUGCUCCAGUCUUGUUGACAAGACAUGUUCAGGGAAUUCCACAGUCAGAAUAUAAUUCUUAGGCAUAUGCAGACCCAAUCCAAACUGUGGCUUAGAGGGAGGACUUAAGUAUUUCCUCUGCACUGUUUUUCUGACCUGAAACAUCUAUUUGUUUUGCCAGGAAAACUUACAUGUAGUAAUGGGCUGCAGUAAGUUCCCACAUUGAGGCAAUUAGCCCUUGGGUCUGUUUCCAUUCAGGAAUAAGGCAUGGGGGAGGGGAGGGUUAAGUCCCCUUUCUCCAUGCACCGUGGCCCAAUCCAAAUUUGGCCAGCACAUGCCUGAGAAUUAAGUCCUGAGCACAAAACUCUCAGAGGUUGUCUAAUUGUUAGGACCGGGGUGGACGUGGAGAACACAAGCACUUUGUCAUGUAUAGUUAGAUUUUGUUAUUUGAUUAUUAAACACAUUUGGUAACUUGUCAACCCUAGAUAUAUUUUUGAAAAAAGAAAAUGGACAAAUGAAAGAAUAGGCUAUGGAAGGUAUUAAAUCUGUUCAAAUAAUCACUGUUUGGAAUGUCUUAAAGCAGUUGGGAGCCUUAUCUGUGGAGAGAUUAAGAUUAAUUACUGCUUAAUUCACCUCCAGCACCUUGUUAUAUUUGUAAACAUUAUAAACUCUUUCCACCCUUUCAAUGGAAGCUUGUGGGGAAAAUUGUGUGGGUUCUAAUCUGCCUUCAUGGAUAUG